AUCCAGCGGACGAGUCCCAGAUAGGACGAAACAUGGGUCCUGGAU
rnacentral:hammerhead_ribozyme from 1 species